rnacentral:rRNA from 1 species
CCUACGGGAGGCAGCAGUGAGGAAUAUUGGUCAAUGGGCGAGAGCCUGAACCAGCCAAGUCGCGUGAAGGAUGACGGCCCUACGGGUUGUAAACUUCUUUUGUCAGGGAGCAAUUGAGUCCACGUGUGGGCUUAGCGAGAGUACCUGAAGAAAAAGCAUCGGCUACCUCGGUGCCAGAGGCCGCGGUAAUACGGAGGAUGCGAGCGUUAUCCGGAUUUAUUGGGUUUAAGGGGUGCGUGGGCGGACUGUUAGGUCAGCGGUAAAAGCCCGGGGCUAAACCCCGGCGAGCCGUGGAAACUGGCUGUCGUGAGAUGUCGAGAGGUAUGCGGAAUGCGCAGUGUAGCGGUGAAAUGCUUAGAUAUUGCGAAGAACCCCGAUUGCGAAGGCAGCAUACCGGCGGCGAUCUGACGCUGAGGCACGAAAGCGUGGGUAUCGAACAGGAUUAGAUACCCUAGUAGUC